CUCUCUCUCUCUCUCUCUCUCUCUCUGCCCCUCCCCCACUUACUUGCAAGAGCUGUCUCUCAAAAAAACUUUAAAAAAAUAGCUCAACUUUUUAGGUCUUAUGGCUAAUCCUUAUCGAAUGGCAUCCAGAACGCUGUCAGACCCUUUGAAUGGGCAUAGGAAAUUUCAGGGGAAGACUUCUAGGAUAAAGUUGUUGGCAUACCCAGGCAACCCUCACUUUAAGGCUAUUUUAAAUGGGCUUGUCGGCUUAUAUAAUUGAGGCUUGUUGGGAGCUGGAAGAGGGGUGGUGGGAAAACCAUGAUUCCAUCUCCGUUAUAAACACAGGAAAUAAGUGUGCCACGAAAGGACUUCAUAGGUUGUGUUUUACAAGCAGCGGGAGAUGCCAUGGGAGAACCUAAGCCUACCUUAUGGUGAGAUGAAGUCCAGCCAGGAGCAAAAUUCCUGAGUCUCAGUUAAGAUAUUGAUACCUAAAAUGUGAAGAGUAGAAAGGGAAGCCUGGGGAAGCCUGGCUGGCUCAGUGGGUAGAGCCUGUGAUUCUUGAUCUUGGGGCUGUGAGUUCAAGCCCCAUGUUGGAUAUCGGAAAAAACAAAAAAAGGGGGGUCCAGAUGCCCCCUGUCUACAUGUUUGAAAGUAAUAAAUCAAGUGAACAAACUGGUCAAUUAAAUAGGUCUUACCCUCCUACUUGACAAAUAUCCCUUCAUAACGGCCCGAUUAGAUUUCUCAAGCUGCUUGGCGUUCUGUGCAGGAGAUAGCAGCCAACGAUCUACCUGCGGUGUGCCCCCAUCCACAUUACACUCUGCCCCUGGCUUCUUUGGGUACCAAGAGGGGCCCCCACAUGCAUGUGGAGUAUGUCAAAGCUCUGUACCUCCAUGAAUAGCUGCACCUUGGUCAUCCUCAGGGUUAGAAGUAUCUGUCCUCAGGAGGCCAGACAUGAGGAAGAAACCCAAGAAACGGGUUCUCAGUCAUUUGGGUCUCCAGUAUCCCAUAUGUAGCAUUUUUGUCGGGAGCGGGGAGAGGAUACCUGGGAGGACACGGGCUCCAGGCAAGCAAAUCUCCAUGAACCUAAGGAGUCUUCAUCUAUACUAAAGGGCAUGGCCAUAGGAAGCCCAGAAUGGAGACUUCGGGUCAAGAGCAGGUCCAGGUACAAAAGCUUCAUGAACGAGUCACGUGAGAAGGAACAAAGGGAAAUGAACUAGGAAGAGUGACAUCCCUACACUGUACAGGCUGUGCGUGACUGCAGAUCCUUCCGUAGAACUAUCGGCGGGCAGAGGUAGCGACAGGGUCACGGUUGGGGGUGUGGGGGAGAGGAAAGGGCCAGAUACGGACCGAGGGGUGAGUAAGGAAUCAGAUAUAUGUAUCGCAACGCGCUGAAGAGAUAAGUUCUGUGGCACAGCGUUGGUAAUGCAUUUCGUGACGGCUGAGCGAGAGAAUCUGCCUCAGGAUGGGCCUCUCUGGGGGAGUCUGAGGGGCCAGCCUGCGGCAGAAAUGGAACCAGAGAUGGCACUUGUGUCCACCUGGCAGCCGCUUCCAGAGACAGGGGUGAGCUGGGCAUCGGUGACAUCACAAAGACAGAUGUGCUCAAGGGGAAGCGUUCCAGUCCUUCUGGGUAUCCUCUGAGAUAAGUAACUAGGAACUCAGGCCAAUUACUCUGGGGCCUCCGUACCCUCGUCCUGAUCCGGUCAGCCACGCAGUGCCAGCCUCCGUUCUGUCAGGAAGGGGUUUCGCUAUUUCUGGAUCCUUCUCAAACCUACUGAGUUACAUUCUCCAGAGGAAGCGUCCAGGAAUCUGUAUUUUCAAAGACACCCCCCCCCCCCCCGGCCCCGGAUGCUUCUGAAGCACAACCACAAUUAUACAGCACCGUACAAAGGUUGGUGUUGCUGCGAUUCUGUGGAGAGAUAGCAGCUCUGAGUACUAUGCUAAGAGGGAACCCUCUAGAGCUGCCUGACUUCCAAGUGGAGGAUUUCCAAGGGGUGUCACUUCACGACGGAGGUCCGGGGAAGAAGCCCAAUGAAUUUAGGGAAUCCAUGAACUUGGGGAGUGCAGCUCUCCAUGGACGUAUAGAUGGUUCCUUCUGCCUUCAAACGUUCUCCUGGCAAGAGAACAGCCCCCUAAAUACACAGAGACACGCAGACAGUGCCCCUCUGUCUCAGAACCUGCAGAAGCUGUAAGUUGCAGAGGGAUACCCACAGUAGAAGCCAACCAUCAAGUGUUUGAGGCUAUCCAGGAGUACAAGGGAGAACCAGGCGGGCACCUGUCCCUGCUGAGGGGAGCACCCGAAGCGAAAGUCCUGCAUAGCCAGGAAGCGAGAACAGAAGCCCUGGGACCUGGAGCCCGCCGGGCCCCCCACCAGGACCAGCGAUGAGCAAACCACUACCCUCUCUUGUGCCUCUGGCUUUCAUCUGUGAAACGUGGACACAACUUGUCCGCUACAGGAAGCUUCCGUGAGCAUCAAACGAAAUAACGGAUGUGAAGGGUCGCGGAGCGUUACGAAAAGCCGUGCAAAUGCAACGCAACGUUUCUGUUCUUCCAAAGGAGCAGGACUACCACACCCUCCCACAAACACGAAACUUUCUCCAAAGAACCAGAAGUCUGUGCAACCGAUUCGUUCGAUACCAAGUAGCCUCCGUGAAUCUCAUGCUUUGCCUCCCCGAGGAAAAGAAGCCUCACUCCCCUAAGAGACCGCCCCAAAGAAGCGCGUGGCUUGCUUCUGGAUCUCCCCCACCGCGGGACCCAGUGCAGGUGGAGUGCGCUAACCGACGUGGGAGGGGAGGGGUGCUGCAACCUCGAAGAGGUUAUGUUAGGUGACUUCGAAAAGAAGGGUUAAAAGUGAAAAAGAUCCUGGAAGGCUUUUCAAAACCACUAAGUAACAAAUGUAGCUCCCACCUCCCACCCACGCACCACUGGAAAUAACUUUAAAUAAUGCAUCUGAGAAUGUCUGCAGAACAGGCAGUCUGGAUUAAGGCCUUUUGAAGGGAUGGCGUUCCAACAAGGAUCCUUUCAGGCGCAUCAUCUUGAGAACCACUGAAUUCUCAGGCAAGUUCACCCUGACAAGUAUCUUUAGCCAAGCCUGGCGACAGAGCUGAGAUCUUGGCAUGCUGACUCCCCCCACGUGGAAAAAGACUUUAUGGCCAAAAAGGCCCGGGAGCCCUCCCGGCCACCGCGUUACCCCAACUCCUACCCCAACAGUGUUGUGUGGAAGGCUCGCCUACUCUGUGUGACCAGAAUUCCAUAAAGAGCCUGGCUGGUCGCUGGGAUGUUGUAGAAACGCAGCCAUCGCCAUUUACUCUCUUUAACAAGCAUCGACCGAACCCCUACCUUGCGCCGGGCGCUGUUCUGGCCCUUGCGGAUGCAGCGGGGAACAAAACAUACACAAAUCUUCGCCCUCGCGCAGCCUGUGUUGUUGGACAGAGGGCGGACAAGAAAUACGUAGAUAUAGGCCCGUGCCUUCCAGCAAGUAUUUUGGACAGGAGUAAGGAGGGAACGGUGGGAGGGAAUCCCUGUUCUACGCAGGGUGGUCAAAGAUCACGGGUGAAUCCGGGAGGGAGCGAAGCAUGCGGUCAUCUGCGGGAAGAGCCUUCCUGGCGGAGAUCAGCGGGCGCAAAAUGCUCCUGCCAGUGGCACACUGAAUGCACUCCGGCCACAAGCAGCAGGGCCUGAGGCUUCCGUUGAAUGAGCAAGGAAGGUGAUGGGAGAGAAGAUUCACAGGUAGCAAGGGAACAGCCCUGGUAAGGACUUGCAGCCUUCAGAUUUUUACCUUGACCGUGAUGGAGAAAACAUGGGGGGCAUUUGGGGCGGUGGAGUAGUACAAUCUCUCCUAUGCUUUAGAAGUACCUCCAUGACCGAGGUGCCUAUUUGCACCCUAAGGAGAUGCUGACCAUGGAGGCUGGAAAACACGAGAGGGGCCUGGGCUGGGGACAGAAUGGAGGGGCUGACAGCCCAUGGCUGGUAUUCGAAGCCAGGAGUCUGGAUGAGACAGAAGAGAAGAGGUGCGUGUCUCGGCCGGGGGGCCCUCCAACUCUCACAGAGAGUGGACAGGAACCUGCACAGGUGUCAGGGCAGAAGCAGCCAAUGGGGUAGGGACACUCAGAACUGACUCCCGGCCGCCCCGGGUCUGCCACAAGCGUCUCUCUCUCAAAAUAAACAAAGAUUAAAAAAAAAAAAAAA